AACUCAAAGGAAUUGACGGGGGCCCGCACAAGCGGAGGAGCAUGUGGUUUAAUUCGAUGAUACGCGAGGAACCUUACCUGGGCUUAAAUGCUUAAUGACGUACUGGGAAACUGGUAUUUCUUCGGACAUUUUGCAAGGUGCUGCAUGGUUGUCGUCAGCUCGUGCCGUGAGGUGUCGGGUUAAGUCCCAUAACGAGCGCAACCCCUAUUGUUAGUUGCCAUCAGGUCAUGCUGGGGACUCUAACAAAACUGCCCGCGUAAGCGUGGAGGAAGGUGGGGAUGACGUCAAAUCAGCACGGCCCUUACGUCCAGGGCUACACACGUGCUACAAUGGCCGGUACAGAGGGCAGCCACUUGGUGACAAGGAGCAAAUCUCAAAAGCCGGUCUCAGUUCGGAUCGGAGUCUGCAACUCGACUCCGUGAAGUUGGAUUCGCUAGUAAUCGUAGAUCAGCAAUGCUACGGUGAAUACGUUCCCGGGCCUU
rnacentral:rRNA from 1 species